GUUUGGCUGGACCUGGCCGACUCCCGCCCCCCAGCAAUAUUUAACAAGCACCUUCCAGAAGACGCAGCUCUGCAUAACCUGUGCUAGGAAUUUGGGCCUCUGCCCUGAAUAUUGGUCCUAUUUCACAUGUACCUCAUCAACCUGAUAACAUUCCUCGCAGCUGAAGAGUCAUGUUGGUGGAGUGUGCAGGGCAGGGAAGCUCAGAAACACAGGACCACAGGAAUUACCUACAGAAAGGCUUUCAUCCGAGCAUCUCAAAGCACCGCCGGACAGUAAUUAAUCCUCACAGCACCUGUGCUCGGAAGCCUCCCCCAAUGGCAGGAUUGCCACGAAUUAUGGAGUAAGAAACAGCGACGGCAGCGACAAAGCGGUGUUUUGGUAGAAGAGCCACCUCCACCCAAAGCCUCUCGAAAAGAAACUGUAUCAGGAUUUCCAAGACCCCUGUCUACCGAGGGUGACUCUAGUAUUGACACCAAUAUUUUUGAGGUGGAGUCUCAGAGUAAGAAGUACAUCGUAAAAGCCUGGAAGCUUUGUUCUGGGCGGGAGAAAAUGGUCUAUUGAAAAACAAGCCAACCUCAUUCUGGGUCUUGAAGCUUGACCAUGUCAUUUAUGGAGUGACCCAGUCACGCUGUAAAUGACCAGAGACAUUCCAGAGUUCAUGACUGUUGUGUAACAGCAACACUUCAAGGGUGGCUGCAGGCACGAGGCACAACACGCCCGCCCAGUGCGGUGAGUGGGAGGAACCCUCCCCCUGGAAUGUGGCUUUGCUCCAAGGCGCGCCCUCCUCCCCAUCCCCGCCACCAAGUGCUGGGGGUGGGAGACUGGACAGACUGGAGGGACGACUCUAUUUUCAGGGAAUGACAAACUGAUCGUGCUGAUUGAGUGAGAGUACUCACCUGCCUCCUGCUCUGGCUCCAAGGACAACCUACUGGGAGGAUUUGUUUAGACGUAACUUGUAUGAGGAAGUGGUGCAGAGCAACAAGAGCCCAAACAACCCGCCACCAGAGAGGACUGCAGCCCAGGCUCCAUUAGAAAAUCGGGGCAAGGGGCCUUGUCCUCCCCAGCGUCCUGCAGCCACCAAGCUGCUGGAGAGGACAUUCCAUUCCACUGAGCGAGAGGAGACAAGAUGGCAGCUUGAAAUUACAUGUGCAAUAGCCCAGGAAGCUUGUAAACAUUUAAGGAGUUGAUUGUUAUUUUCAUUCCUGACCAGUUUGGUGGUGCCAAUAACAAGUCCAUAAACUGCUGAAGCCCAGCCGGAGUGCUGAGAACAAGCAUUUGGGAACGUGAUCCCCAGUGAGUGAUGAAUAUUCAUGGCCGAGUGAAUCUGAACUGCUCACUAGACAGGGAGGCUGGUGCAUGAACUUGCAACAGGUCUUGGCACGGAAAUCAAGUUUAUAGAUUUAACUGAAAAGAAAAGCACUCAUGAUCAAGACAUGUCAGUGCACAGGGGCUCAGGGGGAGGCCAAAGGGGCGCUGUUGUUUCACGGGCUUAGAGUUUCAGCUUUGCAAGAUGAAAACGUUCUAGAGAUCUUUGCACAACAAUGUGA